CAGUCGCCGCGGUAAUCCGUAGGGUGCGAGCGUUAAUCGGAAUUACUGGGCGUAAAGCGUGCGCAGGCGGUUGUGUAAGACAGGUGUGAAAUCCCCGGGCUUAACCUGGGAACUGCGCUUGUGACUGCACAGCUAGAGUAUGGCAGAGGGGGGUGGAAUUCCACGUGUAGCAGUGAAAUGCGUAAAGAUGUGGAGGAACACCGAUGGCGAAGGCAGCCCCCUGGGCCAAUACUGACGCUCAUGCACGAAAGCGUGGUGAGCAAACAGGAUUAGAUACCCCCGUAGUCCCUGUCUCUUAUAC
rnacentral:rRNA from 1 species